GAUGAACGCUGGCGGCGUGCUUAACACAUGCAAGUCGAACGGACGGAAGGAGCUUGCUCCUGAAGUUAGUGGCGGACGGGUGAGUAACGCGUGGGUAACCUGCCCUAUGCAGGGGGAUAACAGUGAGAAAUCGCUGCUAAUACCGCAUAACCUAUUAAAGCUGCAUGGCUUUGAUAGCAAAGAUUUUAUCGGCAUAGGAUGGACCCGCGUUAGAUUAGCUAGUUGGUGAGGUAACAGCUCACCAAGGCGACGAUCUAUAGCCGGCCUGAGAGGGUGAACGGCCACACUGGGACUGAGACACGGCCCAGACUCCUACGGGAGGCAGCAGUGGGGAAUAUUGCACAAUGGGCGCAAGCCUGAUGCAGCGACGCCGCGUGAAGGAUGAAGGUCUUCGGAUUGUAAACUUCUAUCAGCAGGGAAGAAUAAUGACGGUACCUGACUAAGAGGCCCCGGCUAACUACGUGCCAGCCGCCGCGGUAAUAC
rnacentral:rRNA from 1 species